rnacentral:rRNA from 1 species
AUGACCCCAGGUCAGUCG